AAUCAACGCUGGCGGCGUGCCACAGACAUGCAAGUCGAACGAUUAAAGCUCUCUUCGGAGAGUGUAUAGAGUGGCGCACGGGUGAGUAACACGCAAGUAAUCUACCUUCGAGCGGGGAAUAACGUUCGGAAACGAACGCUAAUACCGCAUAAUGCAGCGGCAUCGCAAGAUGACAGUUGUUAAAGGAAUUUAUUUCGCUUGAAGAGGAGCUUGCGGCAGAUUAGCUAGUUGGUAAGGUAACGGCUUACCAAGGCUACGAUCUGUAUCCGGUCUAAGAGGACGGUCGGACACACUGACACUGAAUAUCGGGUCAGACUCCUACGGGAGGCAGCAGUCGGGAAUUUUGGGCAAUGGGCGAAAGCCUGACCCAGCAACGCCGCGUGAAGGAUGAAGUAUUUCGGUAUGUAAACUUCGAAAGAAUGGGAAGAAUAAAUGACGGUACCAUUUAUAAGCUCCGGCUAACUACGUGCCAGCCGCCGCGGUAACAC
rnacentral:rRNA from 1 species